rnacentral:lncRNA from 1 species
AUCAGUUUAAAAUGUUAGUUUCUAUGGCUUUAUGAUGUAUUUAUAUGAAUUUAAAGCAAAGGUCAAAAUCUAGAACGUCAUAUUAACCUAUAUGACCUUGACCUCAAUUUCAAGUUCACAAACCAAGGACCUUAAAUCAAAAGACCCUAGGUCUUUAAUAUGUUUGGUUUAUGAGUAAUAUCACUUUACGCGUAAUUCUAAAUGUAAGAUGGGCAAAAACUCC